rnacentral:rRNA from 1 species
AUACGGAGGAUCCGAGCGUUAUCCGGAUUUAUUGGGUUUAAAGGGUGCGCAGGCGGGAGAUUAGGUCGGCGGUGAAAUGUCGGGGGUCCACCUUGAAAGGGCCGUCGAAACCGGGUUUUUUGAGUGCGGGUGAAGGAGGGGGAAUUUUUGGGGUAGCGGUGAAAUGCGUAGAUAUCACAAGGAACACCGAUUGCGGAGGCAGCUUACUAAACCGCAACUGACGCUCAUGCACGAAGGCGUGGGGAUCAAACAGGAUUAGAUACCCUGGUAGUCCACGCAGUAAACGAUGAUUACUGGCUGUUUGCGAUACAAUGUAAGCGGCUGAGCGAAAGCGUUAAGUAAUCCACCUGGGGAGUACGUUCGCAAGAAUGAAACUCAAAGGAAUUGACGGGG